rnacentral:other from 1 species
AGUUCCCUGGGACAUUGGCCAGCCAAAGAUGUUCUUGAGCCGAUAUUUGUAAAACCGGAGGCAACUCGUUAGAUGUUGUUGUGCAGGUCCGCAAGUCGGAAAGCCUUAUGCAUCGCGGGAGCCACCACCUGAACCUGUUGGUUCAGGGCAAUUUUGACAGCGGUGUUUCGGGGAGCUU